UACGUAGGGUGCAAGCGUUAAUCGGAAUUACUGGGCGUAAAGCGUGCGCAGGCGGUUCUAUAAGACAGAUGUGAAAUCCCCGGGCUCAACCUGGGAACUGCAUUUGUGACUGCAUGGCUAGAGUACGGUAGAGGGGGAUGGAAUUCCGCGUGUAGCAGUGAAAUGCGUAGAUAUGCGGAGGAACACCGAUGGCGAAGGCAACCCCCUGGACCUGUACUGACGCUCAUGCACGAAAGCGUGGGGAGCAAACAGG
rnacentral:rRNA from 1 species